UGGUCAAGCAAGAAAGAGCACAAGGAGAAUGCCUUGGCACUAGGAGCCGAUGAAAGACGUGGUAAGCUGCGAAAAGCU
rnacentral:rRNA from 1 species